UAUGGCUCUGUGUAUGAGGUGUAUGGCUCCGUGUAUGAGGUGUAUGGCUCCGUGUAUGAGGUGUAUGGCUCCGUGUAUGAGGUGUAUGGCUCCGUGUAUGAGGUGUAUGGCUCCGUGUAUGAGGUGUAUGGCUCCGUGUAUGAGGUGUAUGGCUCCGUGUAUGAGGUGUAUGGCUCCGUGUAUGAGGUGACUGGCUCCGUGU